rnacentral:SRP_RNA from 1 species
GCUGGGCGCAGUGGCUUACGCCUGUAAUCCUAGCACUUUGGGAGGCUGAGGCAGGUGGAUCGCUUGAGCCCAGGAGUUCAAGGCCAGCCUGGGCAACAUGGUGAAACCCUGUCUCUA